UACGUAGGGUGCGAGCGUUAAUCGGAAUUACUGGGCGUAAAGGGCGCGUAGGCGGCCCGCUAAGUCGAACGUGAAAUCCCCAGGCUCAACCUGGGAACUGCGUCCGAUACUGGCAGGCUUGAAUCCGGGAGAGGGAUGUGGAAUUCCAGGUGUAGCGGUGAAAUGCGUAGAUAUCUGGAGGAACACCGGUGGCGAAGGCGGCAUCCUGGACCGGUAUUGACGCUGAGGCGCGAAAGCUAGGGUAGCAAACGGG
rnacentral:rRNA from 1 species